rnacentral:rRNA from 1 species
UACGGAGGGGGCUAGCGUUGUUCGGAAUUACUGGGCGUAAAGGGCGCGUAGGCGGUCGUGACAAGUCACUUGUGAAAUCUCCGGGCUUAACUCGGAACGGUCAAGUGAUACUGUCGGACUAGAGUACAGAAGGGGCAACUGGAAUUCUCGGUGUAGCGGUGAAAUGCGUAGGUAUCGAGAGGAACACCUGCGGCGAAGGCGGGUUGCUGGGCUGAUACUGACGCUGAGGCGCGGAAAGCCAGGGGAGCGAACGGG